UGGUCAAAUGCCAAGAAUCUACUUUCUUUUUUUUCUUUUCACUAAAAUAAGGUAUUUUGUUUAAAAUACAGAGUGGUGCAAAUAAACCAGGGAUAUGUGUCACCCAUGGUCUGUUUAUUUAGGUGAUUUGGGGAGCCCUAUGCUCUGGGGAAACGCCAGAGUCCUGCUUUAACUCCAAGUCAUUUCUUCAGGUUGUGAGAAGGGGCAAGGCCUAUCUUUGGAAUUCAUCCACUUUCUGGAAACAGUGACUUUCUCGAAUGGCAGGAAACCCAGGAUUGGCGCCUCCUUCCUGGAUCCAACCUGAGACACUCAGAGAUGGAGCCCACGGCGCCUCAUGGCUGAUGUUCCAGAAGAUGGAAUUAUCUCUAGUAGCAAUACCAGGAGCAUGGAAGCCCCUCUGUGACCUGUUGACAGACA
rnacentral:lncRNA from 1 species